rnacentral:rRNA from 1 species
CUGGGCGGCAGCUUACCAUGCAGUCGAGCGGAGCGAGGGUGCUUGCACCUUAGCUUAGCGGCGGACGGGUGAGUAAUGCUUAGGAAUCUGCCUAUUAGUGGGGGACAACAUUCCGAAAGGGAUGCUAAUACCGCAUACGCCCUACGGGGGAAAGCAGGGGAUCUUCGGACCUUGCGCUAAUAGAUGAGCCUAAGUCGGAUUAGCUAGUUGGUGGGGUAAAGGCCUACCAAGGCGACGAUCUGUAGCGGGUCUGAGAGGAUGAUCCGCCACACUGGGACUGAGACACGGCCCAGACUCCUACGGGAGGCAGCAGUGGGGAAUAUUGGACAAUGGGCGGAAGCCUGAUCCAGCCAUGCCGCGUGUGUGAAGAAGGCCUUUUGGUUGUAAAGCACUUUAAGCGAGGAGGAGGCUCUUAAGGUUAAUACCCUUGAUGAGUGGACGUUACUCGCAGAAUAAGCACCGGCUAACUCUGUGCCAGCAGCCGCGGUAAUACAGAGGGUGCGAGCGUUAAUCGGAUUUACUGGGCGUAAAGCGUGCGUAGGCGGCUGAUUAAGUCGGAUGUGAAAUCCCUGAGCUUAACUUAGGAAUUGCAUUCGAUACUGGUCAGCUAGAGUAUGGGAGAGGAUGGUAGAAUUCCAGGUGUAGCGGUGAAAUGCGUAGAGAUCUGGAGGAAUACCGAUGGCGAAGGCAGCCAUCUGGCCUAAUACUGACGCUGAGGUACGAAAGCAUGGGGAGCAAACAGGAUUAGAUACCCUGGUAGUCCAUGCCGUAAACGAUGUCUACUAGCCGUUGGGGCCUUUGAGGCUUUAGUGGCGCAGCUAACGCGAUAAGUAGACCGCCUGGGGAGUACGGUCGCAAGACUAAAACUCAAAUGAAUUGACGGGGGCCCGCACAAGCGGUGGAGCAUGUGGUUUAAUUCGAUGCAACGCGAAGAACCUUACCUGGUCUUGACAUAGUAAGAACUUUCCAGAGAUGGAUUGGUGCCUUCGGGAACUUACAU